GUUUGAAUAGCUCAGUGGUAAGAGCAAUCACCCAAAAGCAAGCGAAAGACUCGGGUUCGAUUCCCGAUUUAGCG
rnacentral:tRNA from 1 species